rfam:Triticum aestivum genome assembly, contig: Triticum_aestivum_CS42_TGACv1_scaffold_569713_7AS
AACGUACUCCCUCCAUCCGAAAAUACUUGUCAUCCAAAUUAUUAAAAAAGGAUGUAUCUAGAACUAAUAUACAUCUAGAUACAUGCCCUUUCAUUCAUUUUGAUGACAAAUAUUUCCGGACGGAGGAGUAGUAC